CGUAUAUUUAAGUUGUUGCAGUUAAAAAGCUCGUAGUUGGAUUUCGGGUGGGUUCUAGCGGUCCGCCUAUGGUGAGUACUGCUAUGGCCUUCCUUUCUGUCGGGGACGGGCUUCUGGGCUUCACUGUCCGGGACUCGGAGUCGACGUGGUUACUUUGAGUAAAUUAGAGUGUUCAAAGCAGGCUUACGCCAGAAUACUUUAGCAUGGAAUAACACGAUAGGACUCUGGCCUAUCUUGUUGGUCUGUAGGACCGGAGUAAUGAUUAAGAGGGACAGUCGGGGG
rnacentral:rRNA from 1 species